UACGGAGGGUGCAAGCGUUGUUCGGAAUCACUGGGCGUAAAGCGCGUGUAGGCGGCCUUUUAAGUCUGAUGUGAAAGCCCGGGGCUUACCCCCGGAAGUGCAUUGGAGACUGGAAGGCUAGAGUACCGGAGAGGAAGGUGGAAUUCCUGGUGUAGCGGUGAAAUGCGUAGAUAUCUGGAGGAACACCGGUGGCGAAGGCGGCAUCCUGGACCGGUAUUGACACUGAGGCGCGAAAGCCAGGGGAGCAAACGGG
rnacentral:rRNA from 1 species